UGGGCGGAGCCUGACGCAGCAACGCCGCGUGAGGGAUGACGGCCUUCGGGUUGUAAACCUCUUUCAGCGCUGACGAAGCCUGGCCUUUUUGGGUUGGGUGACGGUAGGCGCAGAAGAAGCACCGGCUAACUACGUGCCAGCAGCCGCGGUAAUACGUAGGGUGCGAGCGUUGUCCGGAAUUAUUGGGCGUAAAGGGCUCGUAGGCGGCUUGUCGCGUCUGCUGUGAAAGCCCGGGGCUUAACUCCGGGUCUGCAGUGGAUACGGGCAGGCUAGAGUCCGGCAGGGGAGACUGGAAUUCCUGGUGUAGCGGUGGAAUGCGCAGAUAUCAGGAGGAACACCGGUGGCGAAGGCGGGUCUCUGGGCCGGUACUGACGCUGAGGAGCGAAAGCGUGGGGAGCGAACAGGAUUAGAUACCCUGGUAGUCCACGCCGUAAACGUUGGGCGCUAGGUGUGGGUUCCCUUCCACGGGGUCCGUGCCGUAGCUAACGCAUUAAGCGCCCCGCCUGGGGAGUACGGCCGCAAGGCUAAAACUCAAAUGAAUUGACGGGGAAUCGAAUUCCCGCGGCCGCCAUGGCGGCCGGGAGCAUGCGACGUCGGGCCCAAUUCGCCCUAWGGGNRGUCGUAUUA
rnacentral:rRNA from 1 species